rnacentral:lncRNA from 1 species
CUAAUAACCAAGACCUAACCUAUAAAAACACUAGGACCUACGAGCUGAAAAAUACACAAAAAAAAUAGAGCAUCAACCGUUUUGACACAAGGAAACAAACACUAUACAAGACCUAAAUUAGAAACAUACACUACAAAGGAGAUCCGCCGUUCUGGCAAAACCGGACCCCUCCCCUCAUCAUCUUAUUCAACCCCCCCUCUCCCUCAUCGUUUAUUCAAACCCCCCUCCCCCAUCGGUCUUCUCCAAUACCAACAGCCGUUUUGACCUUAACAGACCUUCCCCCAAACGGAUUUGAUCGUCUUCUUCAUGGAGAUGAUAGCUUAACACUUCAGCUGUUUUCCAUGGAUUUUGGACACAAAAAAACUAACCUAAGACUCACACCCUGUAUUUCGUCUUCUUCAUUCCUUUCCCCAAAAAACAAAAAAAAAAACCUUGAACACAACUCCCAAUCACCACCAGUCCACAGAGAAAUCGUGGUCGUUGCCUAAGAUGAUUUCCGGCAUCGAUUGAAGUUCUGUCCAUUCGAGUUUGCAAUUCCGGUCAUAAGUUCGAUGUGGUUUCCGGCUUAGAUUUUUUUCGCGGUCUUGUUUGUUCCGUCGAUUAGCAUUUUCAGAUUGUAAGUCAUUUAAAUUUCAAAUUAAUAGAGGUUUAUCUUUUCUUCUCCAUCUGUUUCAUGUGUUAUUCUUAUAUGAUUGGUUCCGCGAAGAAUUGGAUUUCGUGGUCAUUUUCUUUGUGUUCAUCAUUGCACCAUACCUCAGUUUUCAUUUGUAAUUUCCUUUAUUUGCUCGUUGAUAUGGUUUGUUAGUGGUCAUUUGGGUAUAACGUCGAAUUUGA